GAUGAACGCUGGCGGCGUGCCUAAUACAUGCAAGUCGAGCGAACAGAUAAGGAGCUUGCUCCUUUGCCGUUAGCGGCGGACGGGUGAGUAACACGUGGGUAACCUACCUAUAAGACUGGGAUAACUUCGGGAAACCGGAGCUAAUACCGGAUAACAUUUGGAACCGCAUGGUUCUAAAGUGAUAGAUGGUUUUGCUAUCACUUAUAGAUGGACCCGGGCCGGAUUAGCUAGUUGGUAAGGUAACGGCUUACCAAGGCAACGAUACGUAGCCGACCUGAGAGGGUGAUCAGCCACACUGGAACUGAGACACGGUCCAGACUCCUACGGGAGGCAGCAGUAGGGAAUCUUCCGCAAUGGGCGAAAGCCUGACGGAGCAACGCCGCGUGAGUGAUGAAGGUUUUCGGAUCGUAAAACUCUGUUAUUAGGGAAGAACAAAAGUGUAAGUAACUCUGCACGUCUUGACGGUACCUAAUCAGAAAGCCACGGCUAACUACGUG
rnacentral:rRNA from 1 species